CGUUGGACGCUCGUCCGUAUCGGUUCAUAAACAAUGCGUGUAAACAUGUGAUGAUUGCGCUCGGCGCGAGCGAUUAUUUUCCGCGCCGAGGUAAAAAGAUUAAAAUCGUCCGUACUCGCGUGAGUACACGCAUAAAUAGAUCUUUGUGCCGGCGAAGAGAGUUGGGGUGUGGAGUUCAGCGGAACGAAAUUAAAAACAAAUAGACCUUAAGUCUUAUCGUCUACGCGAGUAAAAGAUACUUCGGAGAGAACUCGUUUGGAAGUACCUAACUUAACAAUUCCAGUAUUGUGCUGUUGACUCAAAGCUGUAUCGAAAAUAAAAGAGAAAUACACUAUUCGUCUAAAAAGUUGAAAUACCCGGUGCACCCUGCACGUUGUAUUUAAUGGGACGAUAUUCACAUGUUGUACAGGUUAUAAUAACGAAACGAUAAUAAAGCAAUAGGUUUACUUAUAUAUAUAUAUAUAUAU